rnacentral:rRNA from 1 species
CAGUCGCCGCGGGAAUACAGAGGGUGCGAGCGUUAAUCGGAUUUACUGGGCGUAAAGCUUGCGUAGGCGGCUUCUUAAGUCGGAUGUGAAAUCCCUGAGCUUAACUUAGGAAUUGCAUUCGAUACUGGGAAGCUAGAGUAUGGGAGAGGAUGGUAGAAUUCCAGGUGUAGCGGUGAAAUGCGUAGAGAUCUGGAGGAAUACCGAUGGCGAAGGCAGCCAUCUGGCCUAAUACUGACGCUGAGGUACGAAAGCAUGGGGAGCAAACAGGAUUAGAUACCCCCGUAGUCCCUGUCUCUUAUAC